rnacentral:lncRNA from 9 species
GGGCAGGGGAGCGGGGGACAGGAGGACGGUGUCAGCAAAUGCAUUUCUUGGCAUUAAAAUCACACUCGCGCGGGGCGGGGGUGGGCCUGGUGCCCUCAGGGAGCUCCGCGGAGUGGAUGCAGGCACAUUCCAAUGAACUAGCACCUGGAGUCGCCUCCCAGCACUCCCCAACUUGCAGAAACCCCAGAAACUAACCCAACCAUGAAGAGAUGCACUGUCCGCUUACCGCCACCCAACCCAGAGGGCGGAACCCCCAGGCGAAGGUGGCCCUUGCCUGGUGACGCCCCUUGCACUACCUGACUCGCCCUUGUGCCUAUAGCCUUGCGUCCCGCCACCUUCCUGAAAUACGUGGAGGUGGCUGGUAUGCUGCUGGCCACGCCGGCACUUGGAGAAAAGUCCCAGAAAAGGUACACAAGGAACCUCUGAGUACCUUGAGCUUAGUACCCAGGGUGGCUCGAGUGUCUCUGUGCUUGUGAAGCAGAAGUGGCACGGGCUGGGUGAUGACUGCAGAGUGAAAUCCCGACACAGGGACACCAAGGAGCCCGAACUCAGGGUUGCCUGAGGCACGAAGCCGGGGCAUUUCAACCCAGCCCUGGACCCUCUCCCAGGUAAUGUCUGCUCUGGAGAUUCGGCCAGGCCUGCAUCGCGGUCGGAGCUCUCCGGGUCCAGUCCUGCUUCCUUCCCUGUCCUUUUCCAAGCCUUCCCCCCCAGUAAAUCCUGGGCUCCCUUCCCUGGGAAGCAGAGGCCCUUCGGGGUCAGGAGCACAGACGGCCAUGGGCUUGGAAACCCUAACUGCCCCAAGCUUUCCUCCGCCCCAGCGGAGGUCCCAUCUGAAUUCUUUACGGGACCCCGGGCACGGCCUCGGGGUGGGCACUGUGCCGACUGAAAGUGGGGUGUGGAGGGGAGGGCAGAAGAGAAAAGCCAGCGCAGGAGGAUCUGAAAAAUCAGAGGAGGAGCCUGGGCAGGGAAGGCGGACGGUGAGCAGAGGCCCGCGCGCGCGUUCCAGGUACCGUGGACAUUCGCGGCGGCCUGUUUGGAGGAGGCUGCUGACUGGAGUGUGUGGAUCCCACGGUCCAGCCCAGCGCUCUGCACGGCCAGACCGUGGGAGAGAGAGUUCGAGAAACUGA